ACCCCUGUAGCUCAGCUGGACAGAGCGCCGGAUUACGAAUCCGGAGGUCCCAGGUUCGACUCCUGGUAGGGGUA
rnacentral:tRNA from 1 species